rnacentral:tRNA from 1 species
GGGGUUGUGGCUCAGUGGUAGAGCACAUUCCUCACAUGUGUGAGGCCCUGGGUUCAAUCCUCAGCACCACA